GCAAAAUCCGGGCUAGGAGCGGGGGUAAGACGGAGUCGCCAAUCGUGAUCCGGAAUCAUUUGGUGUAAAGGGGCCGUAGGCGGCCUUAUAAGGCAGCGGUGAAAGUUUUUGGCUUAACCAAAAAAUUGCCAUUGAUACUGUAGGGCUUGAAUAUUUGUGAAGUAACUAGAAUAUGUAGUGUAGCGGUGAAAUGCUUAGAUAUUACAUGGAAUACCAAUUGCGAAGGCAGGUUACUAACAAAUGAUUGACGCUGAUGGACGAAAGCGUGGGUAGCGAACAGGAUUAGAUACCCCAGUAGUC
rnacentral:rRNA from 1 species